UGCCCCAGUAACGGCGAGUGAAGCGGCAACAGCUCAAAUUUGAAAUCUGGCCCUUGUGGUCCGAGUUGUAAUUUGUAGAGGAUGCUUUUGGUGCGGUGCCUUCCGAGUUCCCUGGAACGGGACGCCAUAGAGGGUGAGAGCCCCGUCUGGUUGGACACCAAGCCUCUGUAAAGCUCCUUCGACGAGUCGAGUAGUUUGGGAAUGCUGCUCUAAAUGGGAGGUAUAUGUCUUCUAAAGCUAAAUAUUGGCCAGAGACCGAUAGCGCACAAGUAGAGUGAUCGAAAGAUGAAAAGCACUUUGAAAAGAGGGUUAAAUAGUACGUGAAAUUGUUGAAAGGGAAGCGUUUGUGACCAGACUUGGGCUUGGUUAAUCAUCCGGCGUUCUCGCCGGUGCACUUUGCCAGCCCAGGCCAGCAUCAGUUCGUCGCGGGGGAUAAAGGUAGCGGGAAUGUGGCUCCUCGGAGUGUUAUAGCCCGUUGCGUAAUACCCUGUGGUGGACUGAGGUUCGCGCAUCUGCAAGGAUGCUGGCGUAAUGGUCAUCAACGACCCGUCUUGAAACACGGACCAAGGAGUCGUCUUCGUAUGCGAGUGUUCGGGUGUCAAACCCCUACGCGUAAUGAAAGUGAACGCAGGUGAGAGCUUCGGCGCAUCAUCGACCGAUCCUGAUGUUCUCGGAUGGAUUUGAGUAAGAGCAUACGGGGCCGGACCCGAAAGAAGGUGAACUAUGCCUGUAUAGGGUGAAGCCAGAGGAAACUCUGGUGGAGGCUCGCAGCGGUUCUGACGUGCAAAUCGAUCGUCAAAUAUGGGCAUGGGGG
rnacentral:rRNA from 1 species